UGUCAGGGGCCGCGGAGGUCGAGCUUGUGAACCCCGCCAGGACCGGAAGGUAGCAACGGCAGCAUGCCUCUCCCUGUCGCGGUUCCCUGACAGCA
rnacentral:SRP_RNA from 1 species